ACGAACGCUGGCGGCGUGCUUAACACAUGCAAGUCGAACGGUGAAGCGCCUUCCUUUUUGGUGGGUGUGGAUGAGUGGCGAACGGGUGAGUAACACGUGAGUAACCUGCCCCCUUCUUCUGGAUAACCGCAUGAAAGUGUGGCUAAUACGGGAUAUUCUGGGUCUGUCGCAUGAUGGGUCUGGGAAAGAUAUUGUUUCGGUGGGGGAUGGGCUCGCGGCCUAUCAGCUUGUUGGUGGGGUUAUGGCCUACCAAGGCGGUGACGGGUAGCUGGCCUGAGAGGGUGGACGGUCACACUGGGACUGAGACACGGCCCAGACUCCUACGGGAGGCAGCAGUGGGGAAUAUUGCACAAUGGGCGCAAGCCUGAUGCAGCGACGCCGCGUGAGGGAUGGAGGCCUUCGGGUUGUGAACCUCUUUCGCCAGUGAAGCAGGCCUGCCUCGUUUGUGGGUGGGUUGACGGUAGCUGGAUAAGAAGCGCCGGCUAACUACGUG
rnacentral:rRNA from 1 species